GCAUAUGGCCAGAUCUGGCUGAGUCGCCGAAUCUCAUCUGAUUCCAGAAGCUAAACAGUCCCAGGCCCAGCUAGCACAUGGCUGGGAAACCAGCUGGGAGUCCUCGGUACCUAGACU
rnacentral:rRNA from 1 species